rnacentral:rRNA from 1 species
AGAGUUUGAUCUGGCUCAGAGCGAACGCUGGCGGCAGGCUUAACACAUGCAAGUCGAGCGGGUGUAGCAAUACAUCAGCGGCAGACGGGUGAGUAACGCGUGGGAACGUACCUUUUGGUUCGGAACAACCCAGGGAAACUUGGGCUAAUACCGGAUAAGCCCUUACGGGGAAAGAUUUAUCGCCGAAAGAUCGGCCCGCGUCUGAUUAGCUAGUUGGUGAGGUAAUGGCUCACCAAGGCGACGAUCAGUAGCUGGUCUGAGAGGAUGAUCAGCCACAUUGGGACUGAGACACGGCCCAAACUCCUACGGGAGGCAGCAGUGGGGAAUAUUGGACAAUGGGGGCAACCCUGAUCCAGCCAUGCCGCGUGAGUGAUGAAGGCCCUAGGGUUGUAAAGCUCUUUUGUGCGGGAAGAUAAUGACGGUACCGCAAGAAUAAGCCCCGGCUAACUUCGUGCCAGCAGCCGCGGUAAUACGAAGGGGGCUAGCGUUGCUCGGAAUCACUGGGCGUAAAGGGUGCGUAGGCGGGUCUUUAAGUCAGGGGUGAAAUCCUGGAGCUCAACUCCAGAACUGCCUUUGAUACUGAAGAUCUUGAGUCCGGGAGAGGUGAGUGGAACUGCGAGUGUAGAGGUGAAAUUCGUAGAUAUUCGCAAGAACACCAGUGGCGAAGGCGGCUCACUGGCCCGGUACUGACGCUGAGGCACGAAAGCGUGGGGAGCAAACAGGAUUAGAUACCCUAGUAGUCC